CCCCGCUGGUUCCUCUGGUGAAAAGUGCGAGACUGACGGUUGGUGCCAGGAAAAUAAUCCGGGGGGAGGGGGCGUGGGCGCAGCGCCAGGGUUCGCCGACGCGCACCUCAGUGGGCGCGCAGGUGUGUUCAGCGAUAGCGCUCCGGCCGAACCCCGAGGCCUGGCGGCGAAGGGGGCCCGGGACGCAGCCCUCCCUCUGCCCGGUUGUCUGCGGAGAAAGGGAGUGCAAACAGAACGCAACCGCGCCCGCCUUCCAGUUCCCACUAGGUGUUAUCACACACACUAGGUCACGUCCACCAAGCCUCUUCCGCUGCCCUUGUGUCUUCCCUCCAGGAACUUCUUAGAAAAAUUACACUACCUUCCAUUGCACGUCUGCUUCUUCCCUCUUGCAUCUUCCACACUCGCUGUCCAAUAAAGUUCAUGAGCAAAAAUUGC
rnacentral:lncRNA from 1 species